UACGGAGGGAGCUAGCGUUGUUCGGAAUUACUGGGCGUAAAGCGCGCGUAGGCGGCUUUGUAAGUUAGAGGUGAAAGCCCGGGGCUCAACCCCGGAACUGCCUUUAAGACUGCAUCGCUUGAAUCCGGGAGAGGUGAGUGGAAUUCCGAGUGUAGAGGUGAAAUUCGUAGAUAUUCGGAAGAACACCAGUGGCGAAGGCGGCUCACUGGACCGGUAUUGACGCUGAGGUGCGAAAGCUAGGGGAGCAAACGGG
rnacentral:rRNA from 1 species